rnacentral:misc_RNA from 1 species
AAGUCGUAACAAGGUAACCGUAGGUGAACCUGCGGUUGGAUCAUUAAAAAAUUCCAACUAGAAGAGCAUCUCGAAAGAGAUGUUUCUUUAAACACCCUUGUGAACCGUUUAUUGUCUCUGGUGGGUUAAAAUGUCGCAAGACUGGUUUAACAACCGCCCACCUAUUUAAACUACAUAUUAUAUUUAGACUUUAUAAUUCUUUUGAAUUCUUUGAAUUUAAAAACAACUUUUGACAACGGAUCUCUUGGUUCUC